UACGUAGGGGCAAGCGUUAUCCGGAUUUACUGGGUGUAAAGGGAGCGCAGACGGCAGUGCAAGUCUGAUGUGAAAGCCCGGGGCUCAACCCCGGAACUGCAUUGGAAACUGUACAGCUUGAGUGUCGGAGAGGUAAGCGGAAUUCCUAGUGUAGCGGUGAAAUGCGUAGAUAUUAGGAGGAACACCGGUGGCGAAGGCGGCUUACUGGACGAUUACUGACGUUGAAGCUCGAAAGCGUGGGGAGCAAACAGGAUUAGAUACCCCCGUAGUCCCUGA
rnacentral:rRNA from 1 species